GACGAACGCUGGCGGCGCGCCUAACACAUGCAAGUCGAACGAGAGAGAGGAAGCUUGCUUCUUCAAUCGAGUGGCGAACGGGUGAGUAACGCGUGAGGAACCUGCCUCAAAGAGGGGGACAACAGUUGGAAACGACUGCUAAUACCGCAUAAGCCCACAGCUCGGCAUCGAGCAGAGGGAAAAGGAGCAAUCCGCUUUGAGAUGGCCUCGCGUCCGAUUAGCUAGUUGGUGAGGUAAUGGCCCACCAAGGCGACGAUCGGUAGCCGGACUGAGAGGUUGAACGGCCACAUUGGGACUGAGACACGGCCCAGACUCCUACGGGAGGCAGCAGUGGGGAAUAUUGCACAAUGGGGGAAACCCUGAUGCAGCGACGCCGCGUGGAGGAAGAAGGUCUUCGGAUUGUAACUCCUGUUGUUGAGGAAGAUAAUGACGGUACUCAACAAGGAAGUGACGGCUAACUACGUGCCAGCAGCCGCGGUAAAACGUAGGUCACAAGCGUUGUCCGGAAUUACUGGGUGUAAAGGGAGCGCAGGCGGGAAGACAAGUUGGAAGUGAAAUCUAUGGGCUCAACCCAUAAACUGCUUUCAAAACUGUUUUUCUUGAGUAGUGCAGAGGUAGGCGGAAUUCCCGGUGUAGCGGUGGAAUGCGUAGAUAUCGGGAGGAACACCAGUGGCGAAGGCGGCCUACUGGGCACCAACUGACGCUGAGGCUCGAAAGUGUGGGUAGCAAACAGGAUUAGAUACCCUGGUAGUCCACACCGUAAACGAUGAUUACUAGGUGUUGGAGGAUUGACCCCUUCAGUGCCGCAGUUAACACAAUAAGUAAUCCACCUGGGGAGUACGACCGCAAGGUUGAAACUCAAAGGAAUAGACGGGGGCCCGCACAAGCAGUGGAGUAUGUGGUUUAAUUCGACGCAACGCGAAGAACCUUACCAAGUCUUGACAUCCUGCGACGAUGCUGGAAACAGUAUUUUCCUUCGGGACGCAGAGACAGGUGGUGCAUGGUUGUCGUCAGCUCGUGUCGUGAGAUGUUGGGUUAAGUCCCGCAACGAGCGCAACCCUUACUGUCAGUUACUACGCAAGAGGACUCUGGCAGGACUGCCGUUGACAAAACGGAGGAAGGUGGGGAGGACGUCAAAUCAUCAUGCCCUUUAUGACUUGGGCUACACACGUACUACAAUGGCGUUAAACAAAGAGAAGCAAGACCGCGAGGUGGAGCAAAACUCAGAAACAACGUCCCAGUUCGGACUGCAGGCUGCAACUCGCCUGCACGAAGUCGGAAUUACUA
rnacentral:rRNA from 1 species